GGGACUGGAACUCAGUGGUAGAGUGCUUGCCUAGCAUGCAGGAGGCCUUGAGUUCAAUCCUAGCACUGCCA
rnacentral:tRNA from 1 species